rnacentral:misc_RNA from 1 species
GUGAAGAACGUAGCGAAAUGCGAUAAGUAAUGUGAAUUGCAGAAUUCAGUGAAUCAUCGAAUCUUUGAACGCACAUUGCGCCCGGCAGCAAUCUGCCGGGCAUGCCUGUCCGAGCGUCAUUUCUUCCCUCGAGCGCGGCUAGCCCUACGGGGCCUGCCGUCGCCCGGUGUUGGGGCUCUACGGGUGGGGCUCGUCCCCCCCCGCAGUCCCCGAAAUGUAGUGGCGGUCCAGCCGCGGCGCCCCCUGCGUAGUAGAUCCUACAUCUCGCAUCGGGUCCCGGCGAAGGCCAGCCGUCGAACCUUUUAUUUCAUGGUUUGACCUCGGAUCAGGUAGGGUUACCCGCUGAACUUAAGCAUAUCAAUAAGCGGAGGA